GGAUGUAAAGGAAAUCUGGCUGUGACAUGUCACCUCACUGAUCACCAGGGUUGAUUUUGCUGAUAUGGCUGGCUAGGUGAGUGUUUUCUUUCUCUUUUACUGCUGCUCGUGCAUAUCUUCCAAAGCUACAUGCUCUGUCUAAGAAAAUGAUCUUCCCAGUUAAAGGAGGACCAUUUUUCAGUCAAGGAUAUACAAGUAGCUGUGCUCCCCUGCUAGAACCUCCCCACCACCACCACCACACACACAAAAAAGCAGCUCUAAAUAACCCAUAAUAGUUCCACAUCAUCAAAACAAGAAAUUCAACACCUUUAGCAUGAUAUUGG
ensembl:misc_RNA 7SK 7SK RNA